rnacentral:rRNA from 1 species
UACGUAGGGGGCAAGCGUUGUCCGGAUUUAUUGGGCGUAAAGAGCGUGUAGGCGGCCAAGUAGGUCAGCUGUGAAAACUCGAGGCUCAACCUCGAGAUGUCGGCUGAAACCAUCUGGCUAGAGUCCGGAAGAGGAGAAUGGAAUUCCCGGUGUAGCGGUGAAAUGCGCAGAUAUCGGGAAGAACACCCGUGGCGAAGGCGGUUCUCUGGGACGGUACUGGCGCUGAGACGCGAAAGCGUGGGGAGCGAACAGG